GAUUAGAUACCCUGGUAGUCCACGCUGUAAACGAUGUCGACUUGGAGGUUGUGCCCUUGAGGCGUGGCUUCCGGAGCUAACGCGUUAAGUCGACCGCCUGGGGAGUACGGCCGCAAGGUUAAAACUCAAAUGAAUUGACGGGGGCCCGCACAAGCGGUGGAGCAUGUGGUUUAAUUCGAUGCAACGCGAAGAACCUUACCUACUCUUGACAUCCAGAGAACUUGGCAGAGAUGCCUUGGUGCCUUCGGGAACUCUGAGACAGGUGCUGCAUGGCUGUCGUCAGCUCGUGUUGUGAAAUGUUGGGUUAAGUCCCGCAACGAGCGCAACCCUUAUCCUUUGUUGCCAGCGCGUGAUGGCGGGAACUCAAAGGAGACUGCCGGUGAUAAACCGGAGGAAGGUGGGGAUGACGUCAAGUCAUCAUGGCCCUUACGAGUAGGGCUACACACGUGCUACAAUGGCGUAUACAAAGGGAAGCGACCCUGCGAAGGCAAGCGGAACUCAUAAAGUACGUCGUAGUCCGGAUUGGAGUCUGCAACUCGACUCCAUGAAGUCGGAAUCGCUAGUAAUCGUAGAUCAGAAUGCUACGGUGAAUACGUUCCCGGGCCUUGUACACACCGCCCGUCACACCAUGGGAGUGGGUUGCAAAAGAAGUAGGUAGCUUAACCUCCGGGAGGGCGCUUACCACUUUGUGAUUCAUGACUGGGGUGAAGUCGUAACAAGGUAACCA
rnacentral:rRNA from 1 species